UCUUUUUAGGUAUAAUAAAUGCUGCUGGAGCCUUUUCUGGCAUUGUGCUAGUUCCAUUAUCAGGACAUGUGUUAGCAAAAACUGAAUCAUGGCAAUCAGUGUUCCAUCUCAAUGCAAUCACACUUCUACUAGGAUCAUCAGUUUUCCUAGUGUUUGGUACAGCUAAAAAAAUUAUUUAAUAAAAUAUAUAGUCUUGACGGAUAAUUGGCAUUGGUCCUUGGCAUUCAUAAUGUUUUAGCUCAAACCAAAGUUCUAACCUAGACCCACAUUAUCUUUGAAAAUAAUACUUGUACGGAGCCGAACAGCGAUUUUACUCUGGAACUGGGUAUCGUUUUUAGCAAUUUUACUCUGGAACAGGGUAUCGAUUUCAAUGAAUUUUCUCUGGAACAGGGUCAGGGUUUAAUUCUGGAAUUAUUGAUGCUGGAUAAAAAUUCACUGGUGUAGCUUGCGUGUAGACCGAAUUUUUACCCAGUGAAUAGUGAUAGUACGAUUUUACGGUUUGUGCCUUGUGUCUUACUUAUUACAUCUGACGUAUAGAUGUCCAAGUUCUUACAAAUUGCUUGCAGUUAGACUAUACUAUAACUUUUUCAAUACAACUGAUAUAAGUCAAUGUAUGCUUAUGUUGCUUUCCGUGAAGGUUUUGACUAAGAACCUGUUUACAUGUACAUAGGGUGCCCCUAGUGGUAGGGCCAAAAUCCUCCAGGGAAAAGAAAACAAAAGAGUUAGCCCUACCAGACGUAGGUAUUUCAUGUAAACAGGGUCUAAAAGGUAUGAUUAUAUGUCACUGCGUAGCACUAGAAAAUACAUAGAGGUAGUGUAAAUAUAUAGUCAGCUUAGAAAUGAGGUAUUCUGGGCGAAAAAGUACCUUGGAAAUAAAUUCGCAAAAA